rnacentral:rRNA from 1 species
CUACGGGGCGCACCAGUGGGGAAUAUUGCACAAUGGAGGAAACUCUGAUGCAGCAACGCCGCGCGGAGGAUGACACUUUUCGGAGCGUAAACUCCUUUUAUAUAGGAAGAAGAUGACGGUACUAUAUGAAUAAGCGCCGGCUAACUCCGUGCCAGCAGCCGCGGUAAUACGGAGGGCGCAAGCGUUACUCGGAAUCACUGGGCGUAAAGAGCGUGUAGGCGGAUUAAAAAGUCAGAAGUGAAAUCCUAUAGCUUAACUAUAGAACUGCUUCUGAAACUCUUAAUCUAGAAUAUGGGAGAGGUAGAUGGAAUUUCUGGUGUAGGGGUAAAAUCCGUAGAGAUCAGAAGGAAUACCGAUUGCGAAGGCGAUCUACUAGAACAUUAUUGACGCUGAGACGCGAAAGCGUGGGGAGCAAACAGGAUUAGAUACCCCUGUAGUC